UACGGGGGGGGCAAGCGUUGUUCGGAAUUACUGGGCGUAAAGGGCUCGUAGGCGGCCAACUAAGUCAUACGUGAAAUCCCUCGGCUUAACCGGGGAACUGCGUCUGAUACUGGAUGGCUUGAGUUCGGGAGAGGGAUGCGGAAUUCCAGGUGUAGCGGUGAAAUGCGUGGAUAUCCGGAGGAACACCGGUGGCGAAGGCGGCUUCCUGGACCGACACUGACGCUGAGGCGCGAAAGCUAGGGGAGCAAACGGG
rnacentral:rRNA from 1 species